AUUGUGUCCAUAAUCAGAAAGCAAAACUGCUACUCAUGUGUAAGACUGUGAGUAAAGGAUGCUUUAGAGAAAAGAGACAAAAGGUGCUCUCCCAUUUUAGAGUGAUGAGACCAGUGACUAGCACAGGACCUGGUAGAGGACAGAUGGUUGCUUGUCUGCAGACAGAAUAUGUAUCUUCAUUUACUUUUUUUCUAUUUGACACUUCCCUUUUCAGCACCCAUGUUAGCAUGUCAUUUUCAAAAGCCACCAAAUAUAUCAAGGUGUUGUUUAUCUACUAAUGGCUAAACUGGCUUAUCUCAGGUUAGGAAUUAAUAAGUGUUAUUUUAAAUAAACCUAGUGUCAGUUUACUUUGAAAGAUUGCUAAUAGUGCAGUAGGCAAGAGAGACUUCAAAUGCCAAUCCAUAGGUAACAACUUAUGUCUAAUUUUAUGAGCGUCAAUAAAUAUCCAAGAUAUUAUAGUUUUGAGAAUUCUCCUUUGCUGUGGGAACAAAUUAUUUUAAACUACAUUUUGGCCCAAGCUCAAAUAACACUUCAAAGAGCAAGGGAUAGUGUGGUAAAACAAUUGCUGCCUGGUGAUCUGAAGAAUUGGGUUCUAGCCCAGCUGCUCUUUGGCUUCACCCUGAUCACCUGACACAGUGUGUUAGUCAACUUUCCCUCACUAUAACAAAAUAGCUGAGAUGAUUAACUUUUGAAAAAGAGAGGUUUUAUUUUGGCUCACAGUUUUGGACAUUCUAGUCGAUGACUGAUUGGGCAACACAUUAUGGCAAAAGCUUGUGGCAGGAGCAAAACCACUCAUCAGGAGCAGGGAGCAAAAAGAGGAAGAAGAAGGGUCCAGGGUUCCACAAUCCCCUUUAAGGAUAUACCUCCAAUAACCUAAAGACCUCCCACUAGGCCUUACCUCUUAAAGCUUCCCUCACCUCCUAAUAUCAUCACCCUGGGGACCAAGCUCUAACACAUGGGGCUCUGGGGUAUACUGAAGAUCCAAACUAUAAUACAUAGAUUCUUAAUUUCCAUCUGUGAACUAUGGGUCUUGAACUAAGUCAUCUUCAAAGGAUAUAGGACUGUUACCAUUCUGUAUUUUACUACAAGAAUAAUUUUUAAAACAGACCUAUUGUUCACACCAACAAAAAAGCUAUAAUAAUACCUUUAACUGUGUCUUCAGAAACAUUAUGGAGGGGGGUCCUUGAGUCUCACUAUUAUCUGAGUGCACUAUCAGGGCUGAUUUAACCUUUAAACACAGUGGGCACUAUGGCCCAUGAUACUUAUAGGGGUCCAUAGAAAUUUUUUAAUUGUAGUUGAUUUUAAAAAUCAGAAGAAAAAAUAUGAACAUAAUAAUAAUGAAUACAGUUGAUAAAUAUGCAGGCUAGAUUACAUUUCAUACCAACUCAGUCAUAAAAUUUGAUUUUUAUGACUUUUU
rnacentral:lncRNA from 1 species